rnacentral:rRNA from 1 species
CAAGGUGAAAACUAAUUGGCCUGAAGAAGAGCUUGCGUCUGAUUAGCUAGUUGGUGGGGUAAGAGCCUACCAAGGCGACGAUCAGUAGCUGGUCUGAGAGGAUGAGCAGCCACACUGGGACUGAGACACGGCCCAGACUCCUACGGGAGGCAGCAGUGGGGAAUCUUCCGCAAUGGGCGAAAGCCUGACGGAGCAACGCCGCGUGAGGGAGGAAGGUCUUUGGAUUGUAAACCUCUUUUCUCAAGGAAGAAGUUCUGACGGUACUUGAGGAAUCAGCCUCGGCUAACUCCGUGCCAGCAGCCGCGGUAAUACGGGGGAGGCAAGCGUUAUCCGGAAUUAUUGGGCGUAAAGCGUCCGCAGGUGGUCAGCCAAGUCUGCC